UACAGAGGUCUCAAGCGUUGUUCGGAUUCAUUGGGCGUAAAGGGUGCGUAGGUGGCGCGCUAAGUCAGGUGUGAAAUUUCGGAGCUUAACUCCGAAACUGCAUUUGAUACUGGCGUGCUUGAGGACUGGAGAGGAGACUGGAAUUCACGGUGUAGCAGUGAAAUGCGUAGAGAUCGUGAGGAAGACCAGUGGCGAAGGCGGGUCUCUGGACAGUUCCUGACGCUGAGGCACGAAGGCCAGGGGAGCAAACCGGGAU
rnacentral:rRNA from 1 species